AGCCGGGUAGCGCAGUGGUUGUCGCGCCCUACACCACGUGGGGGAGGACGUCGGUUCGAAUCCGACCCCGGCUC
rnacentral:tRNA from 1 species